rnacentral:rRNA from 1 species
UACAGAGGUCUCAAGCGUUGUUCGGAUUCAUUGGGCGUAAAGGGUGCGUAGGUGGCAGGGUAAGUCGGAUGUGAAAUCCCGGGGCUCAACCUCGGAACUGCAUUCGAUACUGCUUUGCUGGAGUACUGGAGAGGAGAUUGGAAUUUACGGUGUAGCAGUGAAAUGCGUAGAUAUCGUAAGGAAGACCAGUGGCGAAGGCGGAUCUCUGGACAGUUACUGACACUGAG